CCUACGGGAUGCAGCAGUGAGGAAUAUUGGUCAAUGGACGCAAGUCUGAACCAGCCAUGCCGCGUUCAGGAUGACGGCUCUAUGAGUUGUACACUGCUUUUGUACGAGGGUAAACCCCGAUACGUGUAUCGGGGUGAAAGUAUCGUACGAAUAAGGAUCGGCGAACUCCGUGCCCGCAGCCGCGGUAAUACGGAGGAUCCGAGGGUUAUCCGGAUUUAUUGGGUUUAAAGGGUGCGUAGGCGGUUUGAUAAGUUAGAGGUGAAAUGUCGGGGCUCAACCCCGAAACUGCCUCUAAUACUGUUGGACUAGAGAAUAGUUGCGGUAGGCGGAAUGUAUGGUGUAGCGGUGAAAUGCUUAGAGAUCAUACAGAACACCGAUUGCGAAGGCAGCUUACCAAACUAUAUCUGACGUUGAGGCACGAAAGCGUGGGUAGCAAACAGGAUUAGAUACCCUGGUAGUC
rnacentral:rRNA from 1 species